rnacentral:ncRNA from 1 species
CAAAGWUUUAUUCUUGCUCUAUUCUCAUUAGUUUCUAUGGGGUACAUGAAAGUCGAAUCUAGUGGACUUGGUUAAAGGUUUAUUAAAUAUAGAUAGGUUUUAUUCUCAGUAUAUAUUAUUGGUUUAUAAAGUAGGUUUUGAUCCAGCAAGUGGUUAAAGCCCGGGCUAAAAUUGUGCCAGCAGCCGCGGUUAGACUGUGUGUGCGAGUGAGAAUGUUUUGGGUGUAAGGUAAUAGUGUGUCUAGUUCAUUUUUAUUUUAUGAGAUAGUGAAGUGGUGAAAUAUGUUAAUUUAAAAUUGUUGGAUAAAGUUGGGUUAGUGAUUGAAUUCCUUUAAAAUUAGAGUAUAGACCAGGAUUAGAUACCCUGUUAUGCUUUUAGUAAUUUUCAUGCUUGGGGUAGUAAACAGAUAUGGGCUCGAAACUUAAAGAAUUUGGCGGUAUCUAAGUCUAGUUAGAGGAACCUGUGCUGUAAACGAUAAACCACGAAUAUCUUACUUUACGUUGAAAUUUCAGUACGUAUACCGCCAUUAUUAGAUAAUCUUUGAAGGGGUUUGUCGGGAUAAAUUGAGAAUUUUGGAUAUUAGGUCAAGGUGCGGCUAAUAGUAAAGUUGACAUGGGUUACAUUGAGAUCAGUUGGUGCGGAUAAGCUUAGUAAAGUGAGUUUAGUAAGGUGGAUUUAAUAGUAAAUGGGGUUAAUUAUGCCUUUUUGAUAUAAGCUCUUGGAUAUGUACACAUCGCCCGUCGUUCUCGCUUUAAGGUGAGGUAAGUCGUAACAUAGUAGGUGUGCCGGAAGGGGUACCUGGAAGU